UCUCAGGUCCCCAGAACUAUGGGGACCCAGAAUGCUUCCAGCAUUCACAAACAUCCUCUGAGAGUUGACUUUUCAAGAUCUUCAUGGCAGGCUCUUCCCAGGGAAGAAAUGGACAAGAAACUGCUGCCUCAGUGGUCUCCUUAGAAUGGAUAGAUGGCUCCACUAUCCAUUGAACACCACUUUGACAUUAGGUAAAGUGACAAGGUAGUAGUAUUUCUACUACUCAGUAUCUAGAAGCUUUGAAAAAAUUAUUCCUCCAUUGGGCGAUGUUCUACAGAGAUGAUUCUUCCUGUCAUGUGAUAAUAGAGGCUGUGCUCUGUUUAUAUAUUCAAGAUGCAGAUUCCAAUGCCCCACGCUAGGGAACGGAGUGGCCGUCUGCAUGAAUCACUCCUCACAGAAAGGAGUCACAUGCCUGUCUUGGGAAAUUUGCAGCCUCACGCUCACUCCCAGAGGGACAAAGGAUAAUGACUUCAUGUCGCUGGCUGCUCACUCACUAUGCUCCUCAAGCACAGGUUUUCUUUUGAAGGAAAAGCUGCCUCGUCUUUUUAAAGGACAUCACAAGACUCUUGGUGACACGAUUCAGCUCUGGCAUCCGCCACAAAGACAUUUGUGUGUCCUUCUGGGGCUUGGAGCCAGGCUUCCAGCCAGCACAAACUUUCUGCCCGUCUUCCACAUGAAGGGCAGAGCUCCUGCUUCUGCCAGGAAUGAAGAUGGCCACUGCUGCUGCCCCAAGCCUCCACAGCAGCUAGAGCAGAUGUGAGCUCUCAGCUACUUCUCCAACACCAUGUCUGCCUGCCUGCCUGCCUGUCUGCCUCCAUGCUCCUUACCAAGAUGGUAAUAGACCAGCCUUCAAAAACUCUGGCUAAAGUUUCCCUGGGAAUCUGACUAUGUUUCCCUUAUCUGUUCAUGUGUGAACAGACAUCUGGGCUGGUUCCACACCUUGAACAAAAGGAGUGUAGCACAAGGAGCAAACAAGAUGGAUCUCCCACAAGCCUCUCUACACCCUCCUGUAUAUGAGAACAUACUGGCAUCCUGACAGUGUGUUCACCCUGGAAGUAAAUCCUUGGCAUUCAUUCGCACAUCUGCCGAGACUGGAAACUUCAGACCACUGAGAGAUGGACUCCUGGCUGCUGCGGAAGACAUGCUGGACCUGCAGAUGGGCAGACAGGUACCUAAAGAAGCCUGAAGAGGGCAUCAGAUCUCCUGGAGCUGGAGCUAUAGCCAGCUGUGAGCUACUCAACACAAGUGCUAGGAUCUAAACUCAGGACCUCUGGAAGAGGAGCCGGCGCUCUCAUCUGUGCACCUUUUCAUUAUCCCUUGGUCGUCCUGUUGGCACAUAUGUGGGGGAUUGUCUUGAUCACCUUAACUAAUGUGAGAAGACCCAUCCCAAAUGUGGCCAAUUCCUUCUGGGAACAGCCAAGAUAAAAGGACAUGAAAGAAAGAAAGCUUUUCAUGUUUUCAUGGCCUGGCCUUCCCCCACACUGCUGAGUUCAUCUACCCUGACACUGGAACCGGCUUCUUUGGACUUUCAAGGAAGGAAGGGAAGAAGGAAGGAGUGAAGGAAACAAGAAAGGAAGAGAAAGGGAAGCCAGGAGAAGAGCUAUAAGAAGAUCAAGCUUUGGCAUUUCAAAAAGAACCUCAAAAGCACAAGCGACGGCCUCAACUCUCCUGGGAACUCAGCAAAGACUUCACAUGGUUUACCUGAUGGCUCCUCAAAUUCACAGCCUGUCUGUAGACGUCAAGGAAGAGGCUCCCACGGCUGUCCCCAGGACAGGGGGUAAAAACUGGCUGAUGUUUGGGGAAUUGCCAAAGAGCUCAGGUAACCGCAGAAGUGGGUACAGACACCACAGCUGUUAUCAGACCGUUCUUUUAACUCUUGCACACAAAGAGAGGAACAAAGUCCCUUCCGUAUCCAGGGGAAGGCUAUCACCUGUGAUCUGCUAACUGAAUGCCUGGCAUUUAGGUCAUGGACUUAAAUGGUGUUUGAAACAUGGCCCCACACAGUCUUGUCCUGAUAAUUCCCAGACCAAAAAUUGAAUACUACAUUAUAUGGCAAAGGGUGUGAUCAAGUUGAGGAAUGGAAGGGGAACUUGUCCCAGAUCAAGAUGGACCUUGAUGCACUCAAAGUCAUCCCCACACCAGUUUGAGAGGGAGUGGCUGACACAGACCAAGGAGAAAGUGAUGGGAAGGCAGAGGCAUAAAAUGAAGCUGUGCAGCCACAGCCAAGGAAUGCCAUCCCCACUCCCCCGGCCACUAGAAACCCAGAGAGGCCCGAACCCCCAGAGCCUUUCAGAGAUGGGGCCUAUGGCUCCUGGGCUUCAUUCUGAGCAUCGAGAACAGAGAGGGUAAAGGUCUGUGAUCCUCAGCUCACUAAGCUUGUAGCCACUUGCAGUGGCAGGAAGGAAACGGGUUAACAGAACUGGAGAGCUAAGGAGAGAAGGAAGGCUUCCUCUGCUUGCAUGGUCAGUGUGAUGACUGGCUUUAAUGUCAACUAGUCGCAAUCUAGAAUCUUCCCUGAAGACUCUGGAGGAACUGUGUAGAUGAGGUGUGCAUUGUGGGCAUGUCUGUAGGGCAUUGCCCUAUUAUGUUAAUUGAUGUGGAAACCUUGCCUGCUGCCUAUAGCAUCCCCAUGUUUGGGUCUUGGACUGUGUACAAGUGGAGAAAGUGAGUGAGCACUGGAAAUGUCUAUUCUCUCUGCUCUUAACUGUGAUGUAGAUGCUUCAAGCUCCUGCCUUGAUUUCCCUGCAUGAAGGACUUUAGCUUGAAACCAUGAGCUGAGGUAACCCUUUCUUCCCCAAGUUGCUUUCUGUCAAGAUUUUUUUUUUAAGCAUAACAAUGGAAAUGAAACUAGAACACUCAGGGAGACUAGAUCCCUCUCCGAAGUCAUACAGGUGUAUGACUUCUCCGAAGUCCGAAACAUACAGGUGCUUUCAGAAUUGGUAAACAGCAAUGAUUCCAUUGGUGGUAGAAUUUCAAGAGAGCCUGUGGUCCACUUCCUGGUAUUAGCCCCAGUUCUGGCAUUUGGCAUGGUAAGUGAAGGUUGCAGAUACCACUAAAGUUCCUAAAUAUAACCAAAGCCCUUUAGACACAGAGGGUUUUCUCUGAUUGAUGGCAGAGGAAGAUCCAGGAAGCUGUGCUCCUGUUGGCCUGGGAAAAGGCAGUGUCUAUGUGUGAGUGGCUCUUCUCUGACAGCUAGCAGGAAAGUGGGCACUUGAGUACUAGAGCCAACAGGAAAUAAAUUCUGCCAACAACAAUAUUGUGUAGCAGGCCAUGGCACUCAGACCAGAAAUAGCCUCACUGACUGCCUUGCAUUCCUUGGGAAAGAACCUAGCCCUGCUCAACAAGCUAGAAGCUGCCAAGUUAGUGCAAUUUGUUCCCUAGCUGUAGAUAACUUAUACAUACUCCUGUGUGUGGGACUGACCUGAAUGGGCAGGGAGAGUGCAGGAAGAAUUGUUCCCAGGGACCUCUCCUCAUUCUCUGUCUUCCUCCACCCAUCAAAUACACACUACUUAUGCCUGGACUGUCAAUGCUACCCCAGUCCCUGACAGUUUAUCUCUAAUUUACCAAGACUGAUCCUGAAGAAACAAGUUCUUACUCCAGCAGAACUUGUAGGCAGGAGAAUCAUGUGAUACAGAGAAUACAGGUAUCCAUUCCCAGAUGGGUUUCCAUCUAUAGACACGCACAUACACACAAGCUCCAAGUGCAACACCACACAGUAUACACACACAUACAACAACCCACAAACACAACCCCGCAACACACACACACACACACACACACACACACAAAUGAUGACCCAAAGAACUCUGCCUAUCUUCAAGGGAACACCCUCAGAGACAUGCACCACUCUAAAGAGCAGAAAAACCCACACUAGACUCAACUCAGAAUAACCCUUCUUCAUGGUCCAAUACCACAAACUUCCUGUGAGUCUCUGGGAUGACCUGAACUCUUUGCGUUAUUUCCCUUGUUCCUCGAAAGGCUGAUUCCUUCUCUUUAAUGUUUCAUCUGAAGUAGAAUCUCCUCCCCCCCAAGACUCUUUUCCCAGCCACCAAGCUGAACACAGUCCCCUUGUUUGUCUCUGACCUCAUCCUUCUGCAUUGUCGAGGUAGUUUUUCACAGCUUGUAAUUAUGUAUUGAUUUCUUUGUCUUCAUGUUUGACCACUAGACUAUAGCUUUAUGUAUUAUUCAAUACUGUUCGGGUUGCGAGCAACAAAAUCCCCUCUUGGCUUGGUCAAACUAUAAAACAAAGUGCCUUGUGGAAGUCAAAGAAAAUCCCUGUCUCAGCAAGCUCAGGAAUGAUGACCACUGUAGGAGUCCUUAGACCCUUGCUUAUAGUCCCAGCCACAUUCUACAUUUGUGUAGUCUCCACUCACAUUUCAAGUUCUCCAGGCAUCUGUCAGGUCAAGUGAGGACAUCUCCAGGCAUUCCUACAAUAGGCCAGUGUGAGGUCCAGAAAGCAUAGUGCAAUAUGCUCUUAUCAGAAGAGGUAGGGUGGGAGAGGACCGGGAGGGAGACUAUCUAAUCAGGGAAUAGCUGAGCCACACCAUCAAUCUAAUGUGGCUUGUCUGAGGGCUUGGGUUAAGCAGCCUCGCUCUUGUGAUUUCUUCAGUUUCUGCUGCCCUUGCAUGUCUUAGAGGACCCACCUCCCCCACCAGCAGUCAAGGUUACUCCUGCAUCUAGGAAAACAGGUAUACAGCAAGCCAUCCUGUUGGAUUCCACAGGGUAGAGUGAGAAAAACUGAAGGUCAGAAACUGCAUGUGAAUCUUGUUUUGCCACUGUGCCAAAUUGCUUAGGCCACCUGAGGCUCAGUUUCCUCAUCUAUAAAAUGGAUACAACUCUAUAUGUUUGCAUGUAGGCACUUAUGUGUGUUUGUAUGUGUGUAGUGAGGCUAAAGACACUUGACCAGCUUGUGAGGCCUGGAUGACAGCCCCAGAGGUGCCCUGCCUCCAAGUAUGGGAACAUUGCUAUAAAUGCUCGAGAGGCCUUUCCACUAUAUCACUGCAUUUUAUUUUCUGCAACCAGCCUCAUCACAUAUAUGAUUGAAAUAGGCAUUUCUCCAUUUGCUUACAGUGACCCCACCAGGCAAAAGUCCUAAGAGGACAGGAAGCCUCUUUUGUUUAAGGCUAUGUUUCUAAAAUAUAGAACAUGACAGCUACUUGAUAGAUUGUUUUGGUCUUUGUUUCUUUCUUUCUUUCUUUUUUUUUUUAAAAGAACAUUGAUUACAUUUAUGUCUUAGUUAGAUUUCUAUUGCUGUAAUUAAAUAGAAUCAGGACCAAAAACAACUGGAGAAGAAAUGGUUUAUUUCAUCUUACAACUCUCAAGUCACAUUCCAUCAUUUAGGGAAGUUAUGGCAGGAACCUGAAGGUGAGAACUGAAGCAGAAGCCAUGGAGGAGUGCUGCUUACUGGCUUGUUCCUCAUGGCUUGCUCAGUCUACUUUCUUAGGUAAGUGAAGAGAUUCUGCCCAGGGGUGGCACCACCCACAGUGGAUUGGGCCCUCCCACAUCAUUUAUUAACCAAGAAAACGCCCCACAAGCUUGCCAAUAUGGAGACAUUUUCUCAAUUGAGGUUCUCUCCAUUCAGAUGACUCUAGCUUUGACAAAAUGACAAAACAAAAACAAACAAACAAAAACAACAAUAAAACUAACCAGCACAAUUUACUUAUGUAUGGGGGGCAGGGGCAAGCAUGUGCCAUGGUACCAGUGUGGAGGUCAGAGAACAGCUUGUGGGAGUCAGCUCUCUCUUUCUACUAUGUGAGUCUCAGGGAUUGUGAUAAACCAACCUGUCUCCAUUUUGGGCUUAAAGUCAUCUUAUAGUGAAGACAAACUAAGUUCAAUUCUUUUUAGGAUUAAACUUGUUUCUCAAGGAGUGGGCUAUGCCCCACCUUGUAACCUUAACUACAAAUGGUUCUGUUACUGCCUGUUCCAGGAAAUGGCAACCAUGUCUUGGUUUCAAUGGGUUAAUGUGACCACCUUGUUAUGCCCACCUUGCAACCAUGUCUUUGUUUCUGGGGUCUGUGUAGGACUAACUUGUUAUGUUUAUGUUCUGCAGCUGUAACCCUGCCUAUUUGCCUGCCAAAUAACCCCCUACUCCUGAGAUAUAAAACCCCUGUCUUCCCUAUUUCCAAUGCUGAUCUCCUGAACCCCUCCUUAGGGAAAGACAGUCUGUGUACACGAAUAAAA